rnacentral:rRNA from 1 species
UACAGAGGGUGCAAGCGUUAUUCGGAAUCACUGGGCGUAAAGAGUUCGUAGGCGGUUUGUUUAGUCGAAUGUGAAAGCCCUGGGCUCAAUCCAGGAAGUGCAUUCGAUACUGGCAAGCUAGAGUGCAGGAGAGGAAGGCGGAAUUCCAGGUGUAGAGGUGAAAUUCGUAGAUAUCUGGAGGAACAACAGAGGCGAAGGCGGCCUUCUGGACUGUCACUGACGCUGAGGAACGAAAGCGUGGGGAGCAAACAGG